rfam:Salmo salar isolate Sally breed double haploid chromosome ssa03, whole genome shotgun sequence.
CCCUGUAGCUCAGUUGGUAGAGCAUGGUGUUUGCAACACCAGGGUUGUGGGUUCAAUUCCCACAGGGG